GUGGGGAAUAUUGCACAAUGGGCGCAAGCCUGAUGCAGCCAUGCCGCGUGUAUGAAGAAGGCCUUCGGGUUGUAAAGUACUUUCAGCGAGGAGGAAGGUGUUGUGGUUAAUAACCGCAGCAAUUGACGUUACUCGCAGAAGAAGCACCGGCUAACUCCGUGCCAGCAGCCGCGGUAAUACGGAGGGUGCAAGCGUUAAUCGGAAUUACUGGGCGUAAAGCGCACGCAGGCGGUCUGUCAAGUCGGAUGUGAAAUCCCCGGGCUCAACCUGGGAACUGCAUACGAAACUGGCAGGCUAGAGUCUUGUAGAGGGGGGUAGAAUUCCAGGUGUAGCGGUGAAAUGCGUAGAGAUCUGGAGGAAUACCGGUGGCGAAGGCGGCCCCCUGGACAAAGACUGACGCUCAGGUGCGAAAGCGUGGGGAGCAAACAGGAUUAGAUACCCGUGUAGUCC
rnacentral:rRNA from 1 species